rnacentral:rRNA from 1 species
UACGUAGGGCGCGAGCGUUGUCCGGAAUUAUUGGGCGUAAAGAGCUCGUAGGCGGCUUGUCACGUCGGGUGUGAAAGACCGGGGCUUAACUCCGGUUCUGCAUUCGAUACGGGCUAGCUAGAGUGUGGUAGGGGAGAUCGGAAUUCCUGGUGUAGCGGUGAAAUGCGCAGAUAUCAGGAGGAACACCGGUGGCGAAGGCGGAUCUCUGGGCCAUUACUGACGCUGAGGAGCGAAAGCAUGGGGAGCGAACAGG